rnacentral:rRNA from 1 species
CUACGGGAUGCUGCAGUGAGGAAUAUUGCACAAUGGGGGGAACCCUGAUGCAGCAACGCCGCGUGGAGGAUGACGCAUUUCGGUGUGUAAACUCCUUUUAUAUGUCAAGAAAAUGACGGUAGCAUAUGAAUAAGCACCGGCUAACUCCGUGCCAGCAGCCGCGGUAAUACGGAGGGUGCAGGCGUUACUCGGAAUCACUGGGCGUAAAGGACGCGUAGGCGGGCUGGAAAGUCAGGUGUGAAAUCCUACAGCUUAACUGUAGAACUGCACUUGAAACUUCUAAUCUAGAGUAUGGGAGGGGGAGAUGGAAUUAGUGGUGUAGGGGUAAAAUCCGUAGAUAUCACUAGGAAUACCUAAAGCGAAGGCGAUCUCCUGGAACAUUACUGACGCUAAGGCGUGAAAGCGUGGGGAGCAAACAGGAUUAGAUACCCGCGUAGUC